GCCCGGAUGGUGGAACGCAGACACGGUGGGCUUAAAACUCGCUGCACCUCGGAGGUGUGCCGGUUCGAGUCCGGCUCCGGGCA
rnacentral:tRNA from 1 species